AGCAGCCGCGGUAAUUCCAGCUCCAAUAGCGUAUAUUAAAGUUGUUGCAGUUAAAAGCUCGUAGUUGAAUUUCGGGAUCAAUACGUCGGUCGUGCUUCGGUACGUACUGGCGUAAUUGAUUUCUCCCUUCUGACGAACCAUGAUGUCAUUAACUUGGUGUCAUGGGAAAUCAGGACUGUUACUUUGAAAAAUUGAGUGUUUAAAGCAGGCUCACGCUUGAAUACAUUAGCAUGGAAUAAUGAAAUAGGACGUUCGAUCCUAUUUUGUUGGUU
rnacentral:misc_RNA from 1 species